GUGUGUGUGUGUGUGUGUGUGUAUGUGUAUGUCAGUGUGUCUGUGUAUGUAUGUAUGUCAGUAUGUCUGUCAUACUGACAUACACACACACAGACAUACUA
rnacentral:miRNA from 1 species